rnacentral:rRNA from 1 species
GCCUAAAGCGUCCGUAGCCUGUUCUAUAAGUUUCCGGUUAAAUCCACUAGCUCAACUAAUGGGCUGCCGAAAAUACUGUAGAACUAGGGAGUGGGAGAGGUAGACGGUACUCGGGAGGAAGUGGUAAAAUGCUUUGAUCUCUCGAUGACCACCUGUGGCGAAGGCGGUCUACCAGAACACGUCCGACGGUGAGGGAUGAAAGCUGGGGGAGCAAACCGGAUUAGAUACCCGGGUAGUCCCAGCUGUAAACUAUGCAAACUCAGUGAUGCAUUGGCUUGAUGCCAAUGCAGUGUUGCAGGGAAGCCGUUAAGUUUGCCGCCUGGGAAGUACGUACGCAAGUAUGAAACUUAAAGGAAUUGGCGGGGGAGCACCACAAGGGGUGAAGCCUGCGGUUCAAUUGGAGUCAACGCCAGAAAUCUUACCCGGAGAGACAGCAGAAUGAAGGUCAAGCUGAAGACUUUACCAGACAAGCUGAGAGGUGGUGCAUGGCCGUCGCCAGCUCGUGCCGUGAGAUGUCCUGUUAAGUCAGGUAACGAGCGAGAUCCUUGCCUCUAGUUGCCACCAUUACUCUCAGGAGUAGUGGGGCGAAUUAGCGGGACCGCCACAGUUAAUGUGGAGGAAGGAAGGGGCCACGACAGGUCAGUAUGCCCCGAA